UAUUUUACAUAGCAUGAAGUACUAUAAAAUUACAAAAAAUAAGUACAAAAAGUAAUAAGCUAGUAAAUAUAUUAAUGUCUACUUAAUAGAUAUUUAUUAAAUAUCUAUCAAGACACUGACUAGAUAGUAGGGUGGGGAGGAGAAAAGAUUUAAAAUGUGUCUCUGUACUUGGGAAAAUUACAGCUUUAGUGAGUCAUCAUGGUUUGCUUAAGAGAAGGUGAACAAGCAGUCCAAAGCAGUGAAGUGUGUGGAGGCAGCAGCAGGUACUUAAGUUUGGCCUAAUGCUAGCCAAUUGCAUUAUAAGGUGGUUGUUGAUUUUGUUCCUUCAUCUCUACCCCUCUUCCAUCCUUUACUGACUCUGUGCAGUCCUUUAGUGUUGAUCAUAUUUCUAUUCUAAUAUUUGGUGCAUAAUAGGUACUCAGUAACACCUCUUUGGGUGAAUGAAUGAGUGAAUGAAGACAGAAGACAGGCUUUAAACUUUUUAACAAUAUGGUUUAGCAG